CUGUCAUCCCAAACACUGAGUAUGAUGUCUGGACAAGCUUUCUUCUGUCUACUGGCCAUGCUCUAUCCAAACCCAGUCCUGAGAGCACCAGCUGUCUCAGUAGUAUUUGCUUUAUUACUCGUCCUACUGUCAAUAGACUGCUACCCUCCACUGGGUUCCCAGGAGCUCCAAGGAGAGCAGUGCUCUGCAGUCACAAAGGCAUGUCCAUGCUGGUUACCAAGGCCCAGCUGGAGCCACAGGAAGCGGAUUCACACACUCCAGAGGCAGCUCAAACCCCUGCUGAUGGAUGGAGGCCACUCUUUCCAUACCUGAGCAGAAGAGGAUGCUGGUCCUUCUUGGAUGUCCUGGAGAAACAUCUUGAUGAUCCUGGGCAAGAUACACCACAGAGCAAGAAUGAAACUCUGAUGAAGUAAUAAAUGGGACUUUAGUGUUUGUGGUCAUGAACCACAAAAUCCCCCUUCACGCCAAAUGAGGUGGAGAUUGGAGUGAAGCAGAAUUUAGUUGUCAAAGUGAAAACAGUGAGUAAGAUUAUUUUGACAUAUGUGAACACAAUAAAAAUGAACACAAAUAAAAAAGAAA